rnacentral:lncRNA from 1 species
CCCCCCCCCCCCCCCCCAUUAGAUCUUCUCACGCUGAAAAUCCAGGUCAGUCAUUUUGCUUCUUCUUGAGGUGUGCAGCCCAGCCUUGCCCGUUCUGACCUCUUGAGUGCUGGAAAAGGCAUAAGGGGGGUUUCCAUUUUGUAAAUUCACCUGGAGGACCAAGUGGAAAACAGACCGGAAAAGGGGGGGGGGGGGGGGCGGCGGCGCUCCCUCUCCCUCUCUCUCUCCAUCUUUCUCUUUCUGUCUCUUUCUCUCUCUGUCUGUUUCUCCCUCUCUGUCUCUGUCUCUCCCUCUGUCUCUUUGUCUUUCUCUUUGUCUCUUUCUCUGUCUGUUUCUCUGUCUCUAUCUCUUUCUCUUUGUUUUUCUCUCUGUCUCUCUCCAUCUUUCUCUUUCUGUCUCUUUCUCUCUCUGUCUGUUUCUCCGUCGGUUUCUCCCUCUCUGUCUCUCUCUCCCUCUGUCUCUUUGUCUUUCUCUGUCUCUUUCUCUGUCUGUUUCUCUGUCUUUCUCUGUGUGUCUCUCCCUCUCCCUCUGUCUCUCUAUCUCUUUCUCUUUGUCUUUCUCUCUGUCUCUCUCUCCAUGUUUCUCUUUCUGUCUCUUUCUCUCCCUGUCUGUUUCUCCAUCUCUUUCUCCCUCUCUGUCUCUCUCUCCCUCUCUCUUUCUCCUUGUCUCUCGCUCUGUGUCUCUGUCUCUCCCUCUCCCUCUGUCUCUUUCUCUCUCUUUCUCUCUGUCUGUCUGUCUCCCUGUCUCUCCCUCUCUCUGUCUGUCUCUCUUUUCCUUCAAAACCCUCUGCUUAAAAGGCAGAGCACGACUUCCAUUUUUCCUUCACAAACCCGCUUACUCAAGUUUUAUGGACUGUAGAUCAAAGUCCUCCUUUCUUCUGAAUUCAAGUCCAACACACCUUCCCACCUUCUCUGACUUGCUUAAGUCAAACUAACAUUCCGUUGGUAUCACUUCAAUUGCUAAUCGGUAACCCCAAAGAGCUCUGAUAUAAAGAUUACAUCGUUGAACCACUGCAUCUUCAGCAUAGUACUCAUCAGUUAUAAAUUCCAGUUCAUAGUACAAAUCGGUAAACUGAGGCAACCACAGAGUAUUGAACCAAAUCAUGGUGCGGUCAGGUUGACGAUGAGCUUUUGUUUACAUCCAAACAAUACUUAAAACACAUGUUUUAGCAGCAGCUCACAUAACACAUUUCAAAAAAUCUCAUAAAGCAUUUAGUAACUUCACAGGGAUCUGCUUUAAAUUCAGAGAUUCGCACCUUAAGCAGGCCUUGUGGACAGGCAGGCGGAUGAUCUCUUUUCAGGAC